AUUGAACGCUGGCGGCAUGCCUUACACAUGCAAGUCGAACGGCAGCACGGGAGCAAUCCUGGUGGCGAGUGCGACGGUGAGUAAUAUAUCGGAACGUGCCCAGUCGUGGGGAUAACGUAGCGAAAGCUACGCUAAUACCGCAUACGAUCUAUGGAUGAAAGCGGGGGAUCGCAAGACCUCGCGCGAUUGGAGCGGCCGAUAUCAGAUUAGGUAGUUGGUGAGGUAAAGGCUCACCAAGCCGACGAUCUGUAGCUGGUCUGAGAGGACGACCAGCCACACUGGGACUGAGACACGGCCCAGACUCCUACGGGAGGCAGCAGUGGGGAAUUUUGGACAAUGGGCGCAAGCCUGAUCCAGCAAUGCCGCGUGCAGGAUGAAGGCCU
rnacentral:rRNA from 1 species